AGAGUUUGAUCCUGGCUCAGGACGAACGCUGGCGGCGCGCCUAACACAUGCAAGUCGAACGAGCGAGAGAGAGCUUGCUUUCUCGAGCGAGUGGCGAACGGGUGAGUAACGCGUGAGGAACCUGCCUCAAAGAGGGGGACAACAGUUGGAAACGACUGCUAAUACCGCAUAAGCCCACGGGUCGGCAUCGACCAGAGGGAAAAGGAGCAAUCCGCUUUGAGAUGGCCUCGCGUCCGAUUAGCUAGUUGGUGAGGUAACGGCCCACCAAGGCGACGAUCGGUAGCCGGACUGAGAGGUUGAACGGCCACAUUGGGACUGAGACACGGCCCAGACUCCUACGGGAGGCAGCAGUGGGGAAUAUUGCACAAUGGGGGAAACCCUGAUGCAGCGACGCCGCGUGGAGGAAGAAGGUCUUCGGAUUGUAAACUCCUGUUGUUGAGGAAGAUAAUGACGGUACUCAACAAGGAAGUGACGGCUAACUACGUGCCAGCAGCCGCGGUAAAACGUAGGUCACAAGCGUUGUCCGGAAUUACUGGGUGUAAAGGGAGCGCAGGCGGGAAGACAAGUUGGAAGUGAAAUCUAUGGGCUCAACCCAUAAACUGCUUUCAAAACUGUUUUUCUUGAGUAGUGCAGAGGUAGGCGGAAUUCCCGGUGUAGCGGUGGAAUGCGUAGAUAUCGGGAGGAACACCAGUGGCGAAGGCGGCCUACUGGGCACCAACUGACGCUGAGGCUCGAAAGUGUGGGUAGCAAACAGGAUUAGAUACCCUGGUAGUCCACACCGUAAACGAUGAUUACUAGGUGUUGGAGGAUUGACCCCUUCAGUGCCGCAGUUAACACAAUAAGUAAUCCACCUGGGGAGUACGACCGCAAGGUUGAAACUCAAAGGAAUUGACGGGGGCCCGCACAAGCAGUGGAGUAUGUGGUUUAAUUCGACGCAACGCGAAGAACCUUACCAAGUCUUGACAU
rnacentral:rRNA from 2 species